rnacentral:lncRNA from 1 species
AGAGAGAGAGAGACCAUCUGGGUAGGGGCUGAGUGUGGAUAGAGAGACCAUCUGGGUAGGGGCUGAGUGGUUAGAGAGAGAGAGACCAUCUGGGUAGGGGCUGAGUGGUUAGAGAGAGAGACCAUCUGGGUAGGGGCUGAGUGGUUAGAGAGAGAGAGACCAUCUGGGUAGGGGCUGAGUGGUUAGAGAGAGAGAGAGAGACCAUCUGGGUAGGGGCUGAGUGGUUAGAGAGAGAGACCAUCUGGGUAGGGGCUGAGUGGUUAGAGAGAGAGACCAUCUGGGUAGGGGCUGAGUGGUUAGAGAGAGAGAGACCAUCUGGGUAGGGGCUGAGUGGUUAGAGAGAGAGAGAGACCAUCUGGGUAGGGGCUGAGUGGUUAGAGAGAGAGAGACCAUCUGGGUAGGGGCUGAGUGGUUAGAGAUGAUAGGAUAGUAGAGGAGAGAGUAGUGAGAGAGAGAGAGA